UGUCACUCUCACUCCUCAUCAAAGAAGCUUCCUUUUUAGCAGCUGGUGAAGACCAUUACAGAAAUCUAUAAUUGGUUAAAAUGACAAACCUUAAGUGCUGGAGAUAAACAUGACUUACCAGAGACAUCCAGGACCAAGACCAUUAUGAUAUCCACUCCGUGCCAGUUUUUAAAGGGGUCUCCCAAAUCCUUCGGACAAGAUAUUAGACAGAGUCAUACUCACCUCAAGAG